UCGGUGCCUGCAGACCCCCGACAUUCUAUGACGGCUCGCCGUCCAAGUUCUGC
ncrna:unclassified sequences chromate-resist RNA